AGUAGCGUGCAGGAUGACGGCCCUAUGGGUUGUAAAACUGCUUUUAUGCGGGGAUAAAGUGAGCCACGUGUGGCUUAUUGCAGGUACCGCAUGAAUAAGGACCGGCUAAUUCCGUGCCAGCAGCCGCGGUAAUACGGAAGGUCCGGGCGUUAUCCGGAUUUAUUGGGUUUAAAGGGAGCGUAGGCCGUUUGGUAAGCGUGUUGUGAAAUGUCGGGGCUCAACCUGGGCAUUGCAGCGCGAACUGUCCGACUUGAGUGCGCGGGAAGUAGGCGGAAUUCGUCGUGUAGCGGUGAAAUGCUUAGAUAUGACGAAGAACUCCGAUUGCGAAGGCAGCCUGCUGUAGCGCAACUGACGCUGAAGCUCGAAAGCGUGGGUAUCGAACAGGAUUAGAUACCCUGGUAGUCCACGCGGUAAACGAUGGAUGCUCGCUGUUUGCGUCUGACGUAAGCGGCCAAGCGAAAGCGUUAAGCAUCCCACCUGGGGAGUACGCCGGCAACGGUGAAACUCAAAGGAAUUGACGGA
rnacentral:rRNA from 1 species